rnacentral:rRNA from 1 species
GAUGAACGCUGGCGGCGUGCCUAAUACAUGCAAGUCGAGCGAACAGAUGAGGAGCUUGCUCCUCUGACGUUAGCGGCGGACGGGUGAGUAACACGUGGAUAACCUACCUAUAAGACUGGGAUACUUCGGGAAACCGGAGCUAAUACCGGAUAAUAUAUUGAACCGCAUGGUUCAAUAGUGAAAGACGGUUUUGCUGUCACUUAUAGAUGGAUCCGCGCCGCAUUAGCUAGUUGGUAAGGUAACGGCUUACCAAGGCAACGAUGCGUAGCCGACCUGAGAGGGUGAUCGGCCACACUGGAAGUGAGACACGGUCCAGACUCCUACGGGAGGCAGCAGUAGGGAAUCUUCCGCAAUGGGCGAAAGCCUGACGGAGCAACGCCGCGUGAGUGAUGAAGGUCUUCGGAUCGUAAAACUCUGUUAUUAGGGAAGAACAAAUGUGUAAGUAACUAUGCACGUCUUGACGGUACCUAAUCAGAAAGCCACGGCUAACUACGUG